CGAGUGAGAGAAGCGAUCAGAGGUGAAGAAGCCGCUGGAAGAGAGCUGAGCGCCCCUUGGCUGCCUCCUGAGCCCACCUGUUGUACCGCCCUCGCCGCUCUGGGCAAGGCGCCCCUGGGCGCGCACAGCCAGCCUGCAACCGAGGGGUGAGGGAUGUGGAGGGCAGCAGAGAUCCUUCGGGUUGGGUCCCCUGAACCUGCUGCCCUCACCGUUCAGUCCCCCCACCCUGCCCUCCCUGCUCCUGGACUCUGAAGGGAAAGGUGAAAGGCAGAGAGAGGGAGAGAAAGGCAAAGAAGAAGAGACACCAACGCAACAAUUACCACCUCAACAUGCUUCAGCUUAGACUGUGUCCAGAGACUUCACAUGUGGAAUGACAACCCUUCAGCUUCAUUACUCAGCCACCAGGUUCCAGAUGCCAUCAGGAUGCCGGCCAGGCUUCCCUGGACUGAAGACCCCACCAAUGUGUCCUGGAGCUCUGCUUCCCCAGAGACCCACCCUACUAGGGAAAGAGAGAGGCAGACUGGGAGUAUGGACCAACCAGUCAACACCCAUGUUCAGUGGGGAAGCAAUUACAGAAGCCAGACCUUCUACCUUCUGCAACCCUCAAUGACCCUGGGUCCAUGCUCCCAGAGGGAUAGAGA